CCACACCCUAAAUGUGCAGAGUGCCAGCCU
rnacentral:piRNA from 1 species